rnacentral:lncRNA from 1 species
UAUAGGUCACCCUAAAUCUCUUUCUAAAUAAAUAUAAUUACUGAAGUACAAGGUUUUCUAAUAGCUGGGGAGAAGUAGAAUAAGGGAGAGCACUGCCCACUGAUUUGAAUCCAGCAUCUCAAUAGUUCAUGGAAUAAAUGUCUUCAGAGAAAUUAAGUUUUCUUGACAGGAACCAGCAAUUUUUUUUAAACAGGAACCCACAAUGUUAAGAUUUCUGGCAGUGUCAGAAAUCUCUACAGGUGUCUUGAAAAUGGCCCAGAGAAACAGCUCCUCCUUCCACUCCCUUCUGUGUCUCCACACUCAAGACCCUGCUCCUCAGGAGAAUUCCCCAGAAGUCCUUGUUCAGUCCCAACUGCCAUUCCUCCUUCAUGUACUGUAGAGCUCUCUACUUCCAUUUUCCCCCAAUGGUUCUUUUUUUUCCCUCUCUCUCCAUCAUUACUAAUAUACUACAUAAAAGUGUACUUAUAGGAGAAUUUAGUUCACUCAUACAAGUUGUUCAUCUUUCAUUUUGCAGAGGACCAAUGAAUGAAGUCUGAGCCAAGAAAUUGAAUUUAAAUGAGGCAAAGUUGCACAGAGUUGUCAGCCUCACUCUCUCUUCCAAAGUCAAUCAAAGUCCAGUGGCAAAACAAAAGUCAGAAUGACUGGCCAUGGACCAGGAUGCAGUGAAUGACUUUGGUGUCUUCAAUGUCUAAUCAAGUUCUAGGCACUCCAUAGUGUCUGCUUCAGCCACCAUCACAGCCAUUGGAGAAAUUGUUCUCAUCUGUCCAUUGAGAUGGGGGAAGUCUUCAUGUGUUUGGGAUAGACAUCCUCCUAAAUCACUGACAGUUUGAGGUCUUUCAGUUACCUUUAACUGGUUUAGCCUGCCUGCUGAGAUGGUUUUACCAUGAUGUCACCAAUGUGCAUGCUACAGCUUCUUGGAGCUACAGGUGAAGAAGGUUAGAUGAAAGAUAGACACCAAAGGUGGACAUGCAACCCUGAAUGGGUUUGGCAAGCUUUCAUACAGAAAGUGCUAGUCUUCCUUCACAGUUUAAGAUGUUGCUCUAUAAUCUGCAAAUCUUUAGACAAGUUCCAAAGGAAAAAAACGAAGCAAGGAAGACUUACUUAUCAAAAAGAUGUAUAUUUCUCAAAAGAUCUUUAAAAAGUCCAAGAAUUACAUUUAUCCUGUUCUGUGGAGAAGAAUUGAGUCAUAAGUAGCCUAAGAUUAGGCCAUUUGCCAAAGCAAACAUCUGGGCUUGCAUGGAUAUUGCUUAUGAGACAACUGAUAGUGGUACAUGGGAAACAUGUUCAUUGGCCAGAGAAUGUGGGCUCACAUCCUAACUCUAAUGAUUGCUACUUGUAUUCGGAUCUGGAAAAUGAGGCAUCUAGAUUAGAAGGUUUCUGAGGUUCCUUUCCAACUCUUAAGUUGUGAUCCAAUUUUUCAAAAGUGAUGAGAUUUUGUAAAAUAUGGGGAAUAAGCACAGCAACUUCUUGGCCUUAGAGGAGUAGUGGGUAAUUUUUUAACAAUUGAGAACAAUCCAGACUAUGAUAGCAAUCCAUAUAUAUGGCACUAAUUAUAGUUAUCCCUUCCACAUUGUGACUUUCCCCAUCACAGUUUCCAUACAUUAUUGGUAGGCAUAAGAAAUUAAAUGAGAAUUUGGAGGAAAUUUUGCUGAAGUCACAGGUGACACAUGAAGGCCAGAGAUGAUACAGGAGAGGUUUAGAAACUCAGAAAAGCAUAAAAUCUAUGUAUAGUAUUUUAUAAUAUCAAUAUAUAUUAUCUUUUAAUACCAUAAAUAGACCCAAUUUCUUUUUUAAAUUAAAAAUAAGUAAAAAGUUAAAGCUUAGAAAAAGAAUGCAAGUCAGAAAAUGGCACAUAAAGUCUAGAAAUGUAGAGAGAUCUAAAAGAGUUUAUUUAGUAACUCAUAAAUGCAUAUAAGGUGCUAUAAACACCCCAUAAGAAAAAGAAAAAAAAAUCAGACUUCUAUGGUACAAAGGGAGGGCCAAAACUUUUUUCAAGAUUUUUCCAGAUCUCAGGGGCAGGCGUAGGUGGGGAGCACUCCCGUAAUGUCCCAUGUAGGAGGAUAUGGAAGGAAUACCUGUAGUUCACUGCCCUGCCUUUCCUAAGAAGUAUUACUUUUACAAC